GUGGCCUAGUGGUUAGAGUGUAGGGACGGCAGGUAGCCUAGUGGUUAGAGUGUAGGGACGGUAGGGUAGCCUAGUGUUUAGAGUGUAGGGACGGCAGGUAGCCUAGUGGUUAGAGUGUAGGGACGGCAGGUAGCCUAGUGGUUAGAGUGUAGGGACGGCAGGUAGCCUAGUGGUUAGAGUGUAGGGACGGCAGGGUAGCCUAGUGGUUAGAGUGUAGGGACGGCAGGUAGCCUAGUGGUUAGAGUGUAGGGACGGUAGGGUAGCCUAGUGGUUAGAGUGUAGGGACGGCAGGUAGCCUAGUGGUUAGAGUGUAGGGACGGCAGGUAGCCUAGUGGUUAGAGUGUAGGGACGGCAGGUAGCCUAGUGGUUAGGGUGUAGGGACGGCAGGUAGCCUAGUGGUUAGAGUGUAGGGACGGCAGGUAGCCUAGUGGUUAGAGUGUAGGGACGGCAGGUAGCCUAGUGGUUAGAGUGUAGGGACGGCAGGUAGCCUAGUGGUUAGAGUGUAGGGACGGCAGGUAGCCUAGUGGUUAGAGUGUAGGGACGGCAGGUAGCCUAGUGGUUAGAGUGUAGGGACGGCAGGGUAGCCUAGUGGUUAGAGUGUAGAGGUGGCAGGGUAGCCUAGUGGUUAGAGUGUAGGGACGGCAGGUAGCCUAGUGGUUAGAGUGUAGGGACGGCAGGUAGCCUAGUGGUUAGAGUGUAGGGACGGCAGGUAGCCUAGUGGUUAGAGUGUAGGGACGGCAGGUAGCCUAGUGGUUAGAGUGUAGGGACGGCAGGUAGCCUAGUGGUUAGAGUGUAGGGACGGCAGGGUAGCCUAGUGGUUAGAGUGUAGGGACGGCAGGUAGCCUAGUGGUUAGAGUGUAGGGACGGCAGGUAGCCUAGUGGUUAGAGUGUAGGGACGGCAGGUAGCCUAGUGGUUAGAGUGUAGGGACGGCAGGUAGCCUAGUGGUUAGAGUGUAGAGGUGGCAGGGUAGCCUAGUGGUUAGAGUGUAGGGACGGCAGGUAGCCUAGUGGUUAGAGUGUAGGGACGGCAGGUAGCCUAGUGGUUAGAGUGUAGGGACGGCAGGUAGCCUAGUGGUUAGAGUGUAGGGACGGCAGGUAGACUAGUGGUUAGAGUGUAGGGACGGCAGGUAGACUAGUGGUUAGAGUGUAGGGACGGCAGGUAGACUAGUGGUUAGAGUGUAGGGACGGCAGGUAGCCUAGUGGUUAGAGUGUAGGGACGGCAGGUAGCCUAGUGGUUAGAGUGUAGGGACGGCAGGUAGCCUAGUGGUUAGAGUGUAGGGACGGCAGGUAGACUAGUGGUUAGAGUGUAGGGACGGCAGGUAGACUAGUGGUUAGAGUGUAGGGACGGCAGGUAGACUAGUGGUUAGAGUGUAGGGACGGCAGGUAGACUAGUGGUUAGAGUGUAGGGACGGCAGGUAGCCUAGUGGUUAGAGUGUAGGGACGGCAGGUAGACUAGUGGUUAGAGUGUAGGGACGGCAGGUAGACUAGUGGUUAGAGUGUAGGGACGGCAGGUAGCCUAGUGGUUAGAGUGUAGGGACGGCAGGUAGCCUAGUGGUUAGAGUGUAGGGACGGCAGGUAGCCUAGUGGUUAGAGUGUAGGGACGGCAGGUAGACUAGUGGUUAGAGUGUAGGGACGGCAGGUAGACUAGUGGUUAGAGUGUAGGGACGGCAGGUAGACUAGUGGUUAGAGUGUAGGGACGGCAGGUAGCCUAGUGGUUAGAGUGUAGGGACGGCAGGUAGCCUAGUGGUUAGAGUGUAGGGACGGCAGGUAGCCUAGUGGUUAGAGUGUAGGGACGGCAGGUAGCCUAGUGGUUAGAGUGUAGGGACGGCAGGUAGCCUAGUGGUUAGAGUGUAGGGACGGCAGGUAGCCUAGUGGUUAGAGUGUAGGGACGGCAGGUAGACUAGUGGUUAGAGUGUAGGGACGGCAGGUAGCCUAGUGGUUAGAGUGUAGGGACGGCAGGUAGCCUAGUGGUUAGAGUGUAGGGACGGCAGGUAGCCUAGUGGUUAGAGUGUAGGGACGGCAGGUAGACUAGUGGUUAGAGUGUAGGGACGGCAGGUAGCCUAGUGGUUAGAGUGUAGGGACGGCAGGUAGCCUAGUGGUUAGAGUGUAGGGACGGCAGGUAGACUAGUGGUUAGAGUGUAGGGACGGCAGGUAGCCUAGUGGUUAGAGUGUAGGGACGGCAGGUAGCCUAGUGGUUAGAGUGUAGGGACGGCAGGUAGACGAGUGGUUAGAGUGUAGGGACGGCAGGUAGCCUAGUGGUUAGAGUGUAGGGACGGCAGGUAGCCUAGUGGUUAGAGUGUAGGGACGGCAGGUAGCCUAGUGGUUAGAGUGUAGGGACGGCAGGUAGCCUAGUGGUUAGAGUGUAGGGACGGCAGGUAGCCUAGUGGUUAGAGUGUAGGGACGGCAGGUAGCCUAGUGGUUAGAGUGUAGGGACGGCAGGUAGCCUAGUGGUUAGAGUGUAGGGACGGCAGGUAGCCUAGUGGUUAGAGUGUAGGGACGGCAGGUAGCCUAGUGGUUAGAGCGUUGGACUCGUAACCGAAAGGUUGCAAGUUCAAACCCCCGAGCUGACAAGGUACAAAUCUGUCGUUCUGCCCCUGAACAGGCAGUUAACCCACUGUUCCCAGGCCGUCAUUGAAAAUAAGAAUGUGUUCUUAACUGACUUGCCUAGUUAA